UGUCAGGCUGCCAACCUUUAAUGGAGAUUGGACAUCAACCUCUGAGAAGACCCCUGGAGGAGUGCAGAAGCUACAGCGGGGAGCUGGUUAACCCUGAAAGCCUUUAAGGGAAGAAGGGAGGAAGAUGAAGAUACAUAUGGGUCUGUGUUGGGGUCAAGAGCCCCCUGCUUGAAGAACAUAAACCUACACUCAUUCACUGUUAGAUCCGAGGCAGCUGGAGCAUCAAGGCACCCUCUGAAGAUGGCGCCUCUGGUUGGAGGACUCAAGGCUGCAGUUGAACUGCGCAGGUUGAGAGCGCUUGCUCCAUUCCCCUGACUCAGACCUUGGUGACCCCGUCUUGGGCCGUUUCUUUGUCACCAGACAACUGGAGUCCAUUAUCCUCCAGUAGCAUCACAUAGCCUUGUGAUGGGGGUGGGGUGCACCUCAGCAGUUAGCUGUUAAAUUUGUGGUCCAGGCAGAUGUGGUGGUAAAUGGCUUUGAUUUCAGCACUUGGGCGGCAGUGGCAGCCAGAUCUUCGUGAGUUCAAGGCUAGUGUGUUCCACAUAGCGAGCACUAAGUGAGUCAGAGCAGCAUAGUGAGAGCCUGUCUCCAUGACAACGAAAUAAAGAAAUGGAACUGAUAUUCAAGUGUAAGUGACAUCCAAACCCUUGGUAGCCUGAGUAGGGGACUUCAAGAUGCACCGUUAGAGCGGGAGUCCCUCAAGCAGCCCAAGGGGAAUUGAUGCUGCAGGUCAAGGGGCACAGCAGAGCAGAUGGAAACAACUCUGAGAGCACAGAAGUAGCCCAGCAGGGUACCAGUGAUUUCCCAGCAAAUCACCAAGAGGAUCCUGGAUGCCUUUCAUCCUCUAUCCUUCACAUGACAACAUGUUCUGGAUGAUGGACCACCCUUUGGUUGAUCUGAAUGUCAGACUCCAUAGCAUGUAACUGAUAGAAUGAGAGUGUGUUUUGGGCAGUGGGUAUCAGACAAUGAAUACAGGAUACUUUGACAGUGGGAGGCUCUCUAUAGAGAGUCCAAAUUGCAAAUGAGUGGUUAUAGGCAGGAUAUUCCAAGGGACCGACGCAGGGCUCUCA
rnacentral:lncRNA from 1 species